AUUGAACGCUGGCGGCAUGCUUUACACAUGCAAGUCGAACGAUAACAGGCCUUCGGGUGCUGACGAGUGGCGAACGGGUGAGUAAUGCAUCGGAACGUACCCAGAGGUGGGGGAUAACGCAGCGAAAGCUGUGCUAAUACCGCAUGUGAUCUGAGGAUGAAAGCGGGGGACCGAGCAGCAAUGUUUGGCCUCGCGCCUUUGGAGCGGCCGAUGUCGGAUUAGCUAGUUGGUGGGGUAGAGGCCUACCAAGGCGACGAUCCGUAGCUGGUCUGAGAGGACGACCAGCCACACUGGGACUGAGACACGGCCCAGACUCCUACGGGAGGCAGCAGUGGGGAAUUUUGGACAAUGGGCGCAAGCCUGAUCCAGCAAUGCCGCGUGCGGGAAGAAGGCCUUCGGGUUGUAAACCGCUUUUGGCAGGAACGAAACGGUGUCCGCUAAUACCGGGCGCUAAUGACGGUACCUGCAGAAUAAGCACCGGCUAACUACGUG
rnacentral:rRNA from 1 species